GACGAACGCUGGCGGCGUGCUUAACACAUGCAAGUCGAACGGAAAGGCGCUGCUUUUGUGGGGUGCUCGUGUGGCGAACGCGUGAGUAACACGUGAGUAACCUGCCCUUGACUUUGGGAUAACUUCAGGAAACUGGGGCUAAUACCGGAUAGGAGCUCCUGCUGCGUAGUGUUGGUUGGAAAGUUUCGGCGGUGGUGGAUGGACUCGCGGCUUAUCAGCUUGUUGGUGAGGUAGUUGAUUACCAAGGGUUUGACGGGUAGGCGGCCUGGGAGGGUGACCGGCCACAUUGGGCCUGCGAGACGGCCCAGAAUCCUACGGGAGGCAGCAGUGGGGAAUAUGGCACAGUGGGCGGACGCCUGAGGUAGCAACGUCGGGUUCGGGAUGACGGCCUUCGGGGUGUAAACCGAUUUCGCCUGUGACGAAGCGUGAGUGACGGUAAUGGGUAAAGAAGCACCGGCUAACUACGUG
rnacentral:rRNA from 1 species